rnacentral:rRNA from 1 species
UACGUAGGCAGCGAGCGUUGUUCGGAGUUACUGGCGUAAGGGUGCGUAGGCGGUUGUUUAAGUUUGGUGUGAAAUCUCCCGGCUCAACUGGGAGGGUGCGCCGAAUACUGAAUGACUAGAGUGCGGGAGAGGAUAGUGGAAUUCCUGGUGUAGCGGUGAAAUGCGCAGAUAUCAGGAGGAACACCGGUGGCGAAGGCGGGUCUCUGGGCCGAUACUGACGCUGAUGUGCGAAAGCGUGGGGAGCAAACAGG